ACGCAAAUUACCCACUCCCGGAACGGGGAGGUAGUGACAAGAUAUGAGGCCUCGUAAUCGGAAUGAGUACACUCUAAAUCCUUUAACAAAAAUCUAUUGGAGGGCAAGUCUGGUGCCAGCAGCCGCGGUAAUUCCAGCUCCAAUAGCGUAUAUUAAAGUUGUUGCGGUUAAAAAGCUCGUAGUUGGUUCUGCGUCCCGCGCUGUCGGUACACCGUUUGUCGGUGACACUGGCAUGACGCGGGAUGUCCUGUCGGUGGCGGCGGAGACCAUAUCGUCGUCGGAUAACACCGCGGCGUGUUGGCCUUCUGUCGCCGGCUAUAUCCUACCGCGGUGCUCUUCACUGAGUGUCGAGGUAGGCCGACACGUUUACUUUGAACAAAUUAGAGUGCUUAAAGCAGGCAAAAAUCUCUGCCAGAAUAGUGGUGCAUGGAAUAAUGGAACAGGACCUUGGUUCUAUUCUGUUGGUCUCCGGAACACAAGGUAAUGAUCAAUGUGGACAGGCGGGGGCAUUCGUAUUGCGGCGUUAGAGGUGAAAUUCUUGGAUCGUCGCAAGACGCACUAGAGCGAAAGCAAUUGCCAAGUAUGUCUUAAUUGAUCAAGAACGAAAGUUAGAGGUUCGAAGGCGAUCAGAUACCGCCCUAGUUCUAACCAUAAACGAUGCCAGCCAGCGAUCCGCCGAUGUUCCUUUGAUGACUCGGCGGGGAGCUUUCCCCGGGAAACCAAAGCUUUUGGGUUCCGGGGGAAGUAUGGUUGCAAAGCUGAAACUUAAAGGAAUUGACG
rnacentral:rRNA from 1 species